rnacentral:rRNA from 1 species
CUAAAAGUUUGGUCCUGGCUUUAAUGUCAACUCUAAUUAGCCUUACACAUGCAAGUCUCAGCCCUCCAGUGACAACGCCCUUAUNAAAAUAAACAGGAGCCGAUAUCAGGCACAACCCACGAACGUUAGCCUACAACAUCUAGCACUUAAGCCACACCCUCAACGGGCAUGCAGCAGUGAUAAACAUUAACCAAUAAGCAUCAGCUUGACCAAGCCACAAUUAACAGAGUUGGUAUAUCUUGUGCCAGCCACCGCGGUUAUACAAGAAACUCAAGUUGACAUUUUACGGCGUAAAGUGUGAUUAAGAGAAAUUUAAUAAAACUAGGACUAAAAACUCACUAAGCAGUCAUACGCAAUUAGUACAGUAACACACUCAAUAUUUUUGCUAAACGAAAGUAGUCCCAACACAAAAAUUAUUCAGAACUCACGACCGCUGAAAUACAAACUGGGAUUAGAUACCCCACUAUGUUCAGCCACAAAACUUGAAUAACUACAUCUACCACUCCGCCAGAGUAUUACGGGCAACAGCUUAAAACUCAAAGGACUUGGCGGUGCCCCAAAUCCCUCCAGAGGAGCCUGUUCUAUAAUCGAUAACCCACGCUUAACCUCACCACCAUUUGACAACCCCAGCCUAUAUACCACCGUCACCCGCCUGCCUUAUGAAAGAACCAUAGCAAGCAAAAACGAAACUUCCAAAUACGUCAGGUCAAGGUGUAGCAUAUAUGGUGGGAAGAAAUGGGCUACAUUUUCUUUUAAAGACCACACGAAUGACAAAAUGAAACCAUACCUGAAGGCGGAUUUGGCAGUAAGCGUGGACAAUAAUGCCACCCUUAACUCCGGCCCUGGGGCGCGCACACACCGCCCGUCACCCUCAUCACCUAGUCUUAGUUUAAUUUUAUAAAACCACCAAAGACAUCCCAGAUGAGGAAAGUCGUAACAAGGUAAGCGCACUGGAAAGUGCUCUUGGAUUAC